CUGAAGGGCUUCGGGAUAUUCUUCUCUGCCUUCCUGCAGGAGUUCGAAGCUUCCGCCUCGAUCAUAUCCCUGGUGCUGGGUGUGCGAUCAGUUGUCUAUGCUUUCGUGGCCCCUCUUGCCACCAGCCUGUGUGACCGACUGACAGAGAGGGUUGUCAUUAUCUUCGGAGGAAUAAUGCACUUUAUUUCUGGAGUGUUGUCUUCUCAAGCCAGGAGUACAGAGGUUCUCAUUUUUGUUAACGGUGCAAUAGGGGGACUGGCAGUAGCUUGUACGUUUGGCCCCCAUUCAAGUGACCAUUGGUAAAUAUUUUAACAAGAGAAAGUCCUUGGCAAUGUCCAUCGUUUUCUGCGGGGCAACGCUCGGACAGAUUGUGAUGUCUCCCGUUAUUGUACUGAUGUUAGACGCGUUUGGUUUACGAGGGACGUUGAUGUUGUAUGCAGCCCUUCUCUUGCACCUCUGCGUGACGGGAGCGCUGGCGAGACCAGUCAAAAUGUCGACGUUGUCAUCGAACCACGCCGUGCCAAACGACCUUGCUACUGAUCCAGAGGACAAAUCGAAAG